rnacentral:rRNA from 1 species
CGCAUCUGUGCAUGCAGCAUAUCAAUAAGCGGAGGAAAAGUCAAUACCUACGCUUAGGAUGUUGACACACGCGCGUGCUCGAGCUCUAUAUAUGACUCUGUGCAUAUCAAUAAGCGGAGGAAAAGAAACUAACAAGGAUUCCCUUAGUAACGGCGAGUGAAGCGGGAAGAGCUCAAAUUUGAAAUCUUCAAGGUUUUACCUUGACGAAUUGUAGUUUAAAGAAGUGUUUUCUGUUGAAGUUUUGGUAAAAGUUCUUUGGAAUAGGACAUCAUAGAGGGUGAGAAUCCCGUAUUUGACCAUUAUUUUCAGCUGUGUGAUACACUUUCAAAGAGUCGGAUUGUUUGGGAAUGCAGUCCAAAAUGGGUGGUAAAUUUCAUCUAAAGCUAAAUAUUGGCGAGAGACCGAUAGCGAACAAGUACCGUGAGGGAAAGAUGAAAAGAACUUUGAAAAGAGAGUUAAACAGUACGUGAAAUUGUCAAAAGGGAAGCGUUUGACACCAGUGUUGUUUUCUCGAAAAUCAAUUAAAAAGAGUUAGAUUUUGUUGUGUAUUGACCUUAACAGCUUGCAUUUCAAUUUUCUUGCUUGUUUUAAUGCACUUUUCGUUUAACAAGUCAACAUCAGUUUCUUUUGUUGUAAAAAGGUCAUUGGAAGGUGGCUUUCUUUUCGGAGAAAGUGUUUAUAGCCUUUGACUCCUGCAAUCGGAGAGACUGAGGUCUGCAGCGUAGAUCCUUCGGGGUUAGAUACAUUUGUGCUAAGUUAUAGCUUUUUAUAGACAACUUGUUGACUAUGAUUAGUCUUGUAGCUUACUCGCUUAUGCUAUUUUACCUACGCUUAGGAUGUUGACACACGCACGUGCUCG